CCUCCUCCACAAGGAGAUCAUUUGUCAUCCAGGAGGUGUGGGGUAACCCUUCCUUGAUUCGCUGAGGCUGCACCCCACCUCCGAUUCAGUGGGGCACUCUGGCAGGACAUUCUCUUUCUUUCUUUAUGCGCUGAACUCAGCAUCAUGCUAAGGAUACUGAGCGGAGAGCUGGGGAUGUGCAUUCGCUUCUGAUUCAAGGGGCAGAAGAAGUGUCCGGCCGUGGUUGAGAAUGUGGGCUCUGGACCCAGACUGUCUGCCCAAAGAAAAGGAUUCAAACUCAUGGCCAGAAGGCUGGAUAAGACCUACAGGCACAUUUUAUUUAGCCUUCAGAAUGUUUACUAAGAUUGCUUCCUAUAUGAUGGAUGGGCCUCAUCUGAUCAGUUGAAGGACAAAAAAAUAGAAGAAAACGCCCAGCCCCCCCUGGGCAAGAGAUAAUUCCCCAGCAGACUGCCUUCACCCUGGAACUGCAAUAUCAACUCUCCCGGGUCCCUAGUCAACUGGCACAGCCUAGAGAUCUUGGACUUGCCAGCCUCCAUAAUCACAGAGGGAUUGAGAGAGAGGAGUUACCCUCUCUCUUGCAGAGAGACUUGGUCAGGCUUGUGGUGAGGAAAGAAGAGGAACUGGUCCCAGCCUCGUGAAGGGGUCACGCUUCCUGGCUGGUUGCUGGGAGGAUUCAUGAGUUAAUCCAUGUAAAGUUUUCAGUAGCAGACCUCUAAAUAGCACCAGACUCUGACUUCAGCCACGAUUGGACAGAGGCCAAAUGCUCCGUGAAAGUUGAGUGCCGGAGAUGUAGUAGAAGGUUGCCUAGCAACAGAGGUGUUAGGGUAGAUAGGAGCAAAUCCCUCAGUGGUUCCCUAAGAGGAGGAAUGUAGGCAGGAUUGGACCUAUUUGGGGCAAAAUAGGAGGAGACUGACGAGGGCCACCCUGAGAGUCAGAUUGAGGAAUUUCUCAGUCCUGCUCCCCAGAGCUUCUGGACAUGGUCCAUGUCUUUCUCUUCUCUUCUGCUUCUCAUCUUCUCUUCCUUCUUCUCCUUUUCUUCCUUUCCCUCUCCUCCUUCCCUCUCCCUCCUCCUUCUUCCUCCUCUUUUACUAUUACUAUUAUUACUGAUAAUAAUAACAGCUAACGUUUGUUAAGUGCCUCGUCUGUGCCAGGCACUGUCCUAAGUGUUCUGCAUGAACACACUUCAGCCUCACAACCCUAGGAGAUGCUCCUACUAUUAUUCCAUCUAACAGAUGAGGAAAUAAAAAGAAGCCAGCUGGGAUUCUGGGGUGGCUAUUUCUCCCUGAUAAGAACACAGAAGGCAAGAAGGGAUGCUCUUUUACGCUCGAACGUGUUUGUGCCAGGACAAGAUGCUUGGAGCUGCCCCAGCCAUAAUACGAUCUGGAGGCAACAAGCCAAACAUUAAAGAUGUCAGAGUGGUAAAAUAGAAAGGGCUUGGUCCUUAUUGGCAUGCCUCGAGUGUUUGGAUAAAACCUUCCUGUUGGGCAAAACGAUUAAUUAUCUUUAUUGCUUAAGCCAGAGUUAGGUAAUCGGUUCCUUGCAACUGAGCUCAGCCUAGCUGAUAGAAUUACCCUGACAAGGGACAGAAUGUGGUAAGGCACCAAAGCCCAUGGGUACAAGUAAAGAGGAUGCCUCUGAAAAUACUCUUUAAUUUGCCACACUUACCUUUUGAUAGCUUAGAGUCUUAUUAGAGGAGAAGAGAGAAUCAGGGGAAAGAAAAAAGCACGAGAUGUCUCAUUUCAGUACAGGGCAUGUGAAGGGGCCAAAGUUGACUGGGGGACUGUGGUCUUCUCUAGGGCUCUGUAGCUGGAGAGACCAUAUAUCUCAUCAAUUACCUUGGAAGAAGGUAGACGCUCUGAUAUCCACUUUAUCCCCCCAGGUGCCAAUUUCCUUCCAGCAUUCCAGCAUUCCUCACCAGACUCUCUUUGUCUCCCUGGAGGAGCCCCGGGAUGGUGCCAUAAGAGCAAGUGAAUCUCCUUCCUCUUUAUUGCCUGAUUGACUGUAGUUCCUCAGGGAACAUACUCUCUUUCUCAGCGCCUAGAGGAAGGAUAGUGGUACCAAGGACCCGCACCAUCACCUUUAGCAGAACCUGUAGGUUGGUUCACUCGACCCUGGCCACAACUCUUACCUCCUUUAUAUUUCUCUAUUGUAGAAGCUGGAAAGUGGAAGACUAGAAAGAUUAGAAGAUGCAAGAGAAAAAGCCACGUGAGGACACACUGAGAAAGCAGUCAUCUGCAAGCCAGAAAGCGAGCUCUCACCAGAAACCAGCAUCUUGAUCUUGGAUUUCUAGCCUCCAGUAUUAUGGGAAAUAAAUUUCUGUUGUUUAAGCUACCAUUUGGUUUUUGUGAAUAACGCUGCUAUGAACACAGGCAUACAGAUAUCUGAUGCAAAUAUACAUAUCUGAGUCCCUGCUUCCAAUUCUUUUGGGUAUAUACCCAAAAGUGGAAUUGCUGAAUCGUAUGGAUAUAUUGCAUUUAUACAAUGUGUCUCCUCUUGAUUGCAACAAUUUCUCAAACUCUCCUUGUUCUGAAUGACCUUGAGGAUGUUGAGGAUACUGGUCAGGUCCCUCAGCUGAGUAGUCACUUUAGACUGUGUCGACUGAAAAAGCAAUGCACAGCGUGAGAACUGUGAGUCAAGUUUUAUUUGGAGCAAAAUGAGGACUGUAGCCCAGGAGACAGCAUUUCAGAGACCUCUGAGAAACUGCUCCGAAGAG